UAAAUACUGGCUCAAAACAAUCAGCAAUGUAUACUAAGGUGUUUCUACUUGCUGUCCUUUUUUGCCUGGUGGGAGCAGUCCUCUCCAGACAACGUGAAAAAUGGUGCCGACUUAACUUAGGACCUGCUAAUGGCGGAAGAUGCUAAACAUUAAAAAAAAAGUGUAAAAUUCUUUUUAUACUUCUGCGAAAUAAAGAAGGAAACGUGGA